CCUGCCACCAUGUGGGGUCUGGGAGUUCUCCUGUUCCACCUUGUCUGUGGACACUUGCCCUUCAGUAAUGAGGAUGAGAUUGUUUACAGGAGGAUGGACUUUGCUCCCGGCCUGUCUGAAGGUUGCCACAAUCUGAUCAAUUGGUGUCUGGACCCGGAACCUGAAUGUCGGCCCACGUUUGAAGAAAUCCUCAGCCAUCAGUGGUUUACAUCUGGUGGAUCUGAGUGAAGGAUCUGAGUCCAUUUGGAUGUCCACCGUGGUGUUACGCCUCGUAAAGGAGCAUGUCCAGGAGAUGCUGAAGGCCAUGGAGGGAGUCUGAGCAACACUCCUCACACACACACACACACACACACCUCUCUAUCUCAGCCAACUUAAAGAGUGAUCAGGACAUUUUAGGAAAUCUCUUGUUGGCUAUUCAGUGGUCAUUAGAAUAUAAAACUAAGAUUAAUCUCUGCACUUUUGCCCAUUCAUUUGUAGAACUGCAUUUGUUCUCCAUUUUGUUAGAUGAUAGAUUACUUGUAACUAAUUUAUAAGAUUAAGAAACCCCCAAAAUUUGAACAAAGUAAUAAAUGUCCUGGUCAUACUUUAAACACUUUAAACAAAAUCUCUUUUCUUUCCCUCAGGAUCUCCACAGGUAAGUAAAUACUUAUUACUGUCUUUUAUUUUCUGCAGACUUAAACCUGUCUUGUUUUUCUUCUCUCCCUGAGCAGCUGUACACAACAUCGCUGGCCUCUAACAUCAACAUCUGUUAGUGCUCUCUGACCAACGGACGGCAUCAACAUCUGCAGCUCCGAUAAGCGUCUCCAUCUUUAGUUUAACGUUUUAUUAUAUAGAUUACUCAUUAAGACAUUUAUCUUUA